AUUGAACGCUGGCGGCAGGCCUAACACAUGCCAGUCGAGCGGAUGAAGGGAGCUUGCUCCUGGAUUCAGCGGCGGACGGGUGAGUAAUGCCUAGGAAUCUGCCUGGUAGUGGGGGAUAACGUCCGGAAACGGGCGCUAAUACCGCAUACGUCCUGAGGGAGAAAGUGGGGGAUCUUCGGACCUCACGCUAUCAGAUGAGCCUAGGUCGGAUUAGCUAGUUGGUGGGGUAAAGGCCUACCAAGGCGACGAUCCGUAACUGGUCUGAGAGGGUGAUCAGUCACACUGGAACUGAGACACGGUCCAGACUCCUACGGGAGGCAGCAGUGGGGAAUAUUGGACAAUGGGCGAAAGCCUGAUCCAGCCAUGCCGCGUGUGUGAAGAAGGUCUUCGGAUUGUAAAGCACUUUAAGUUGGGAGGAAGGGCAGUAAGUUAAUACCUUGCUGUUUUGACGUUACCAACAGAAUAAGCACCGGCUAACUUCGUG
rnacentral:rRNA from 1 species